rnacentral:rRNA from 1 species
AACGAACGCUGGCGGCAGGCUUAACACAUGCAAGUCGAACGGGCGUAGCAAUACGUCAGUGGCAGACGGGUGAGUAACACGUGGGAACCUUCCUCGUAGUACGGAACAACUCAGGGAAACUUGAGCUAAUACCGUAUACGUCCGAGAGGAGAAAGAUUUAUCGCUAUGAGACGGGCCCGCGUCCGAUUAGGUAGUUGGUGGGGUAACGGCCUACCAAGCCGACGAUCGGUAGCUGAUCUGAGAGGAUGAUCAGCCACACUGGGACUGAGACACGGCCCAGACUCCUACGGGAGGCAGCAGUGGGGAAUCUUGGACAAUGGGCGCAAGCCUGAUCCAGCCAUGCCGCGUGAGUGAAGAAGGCCUUAGGGUUGUAAAGCUCUUUUGCCAGGGACGAUAAUGACGGUACCUGGAGAAUAAGCCCCGGCAAACUUCGUGCCAGCCGCCGCGGUAAC